GACGAACGCUGGCGGCGUGCUUAACACAUGCAAGUCGAACGGAAAGGCCCUGCUUGCAGGGUACUCGAGUGGCGAACGGGGGAGUAACACGUGGGUGAUCUGCCCUGCACUUCGGGAUAAGCCUGGGAAACUGGGUCUAAUACCGGAUAGGAGCCAUUUUUAGUGUGAUUGUUGGAAAGUUUUUUCGGUGUAGGAUGAGCUCGCGGCCUAUCAGCUUGUUGGUGGGGUAAUGGCCUACCAAGGCGGCGACGGGUAGCCGGCCUGAGAGGGUGGACGGCCACAUUGGGACUGAGAUACGGCCCAGAAUCCUACGGGAGGCAGCAGUGGGGAAUAUUGCACAAUGGGCGCAAGCCUGAUGCAGCGACGCCGCGGGGGGGAUGACGGCCUUUGGGUUGUAAACGCCUUUCGCUAGGGACGAAGCUUUUUGUGACGGUACCUAGAUAAGAAGCACCGGCUAACUACGUG
rnacentral:rRNA from 1 species